CAUCGCCGCGGGAAUACGAAGGGGGCUAGCGUUGUUCGGAUUUACUGGGCGUAAAGCGCACGUAGGCGGAAAUUUAAGUCAGAGGUGAAAUCCCGAGGCUCAACCUCGGAACUGCCUUUGAUACUGGGUUUCUUGAGUCCGGAAGAGGUGAGUGGAACUGCGAGUGUAGAGGUGAAAUUCGUAGAUAUUCGCAAGAACACCAGUGGCGAAGGCGGCUCACUGGUCCGGAACUGACGCUGAGGUGCGAAAGCGUGGGGAGCAAACAGGAUUAGAUACCCCGGUAGUCCCUGUCUCUUAUACC
rnacentral:rRNA from 1 species